rnacentral:rRNA from 1 species
UACGGGGGGGGCAAGCGUUGUUCGGAAUUACUGGGCGUAAAGGGCGCGUAGGCGGUUUGCUAAGUUGGACGUGAAAACUCUGGGCUUAACCCAGAGCCUGCAUCCAAAACUGGCAAGCUAGAGUUUUGGAGGGGGAAGCGGAAUUCCUGGUGUAGCAGUGAAAUGCGUAGAUAUCAGGAGGAACACCAGUGGCGAAGGCGGCUCACUGGACCGGAACUGACGCUGAGGCGCGAAAGCGUGGGGGAGCAAACAGG